CGCGUAGGCGGUUGUGUGAGUGUGAUGUGAAAGCCCCGGGCUUAACCUGGGAAGUGCAUCGCAAACGACAUAACUGGAGUAGAUGAGAGGGUGGUGGAAUUUCCGGUGUAGCGGUGAAAUGCGUAGAGAUCGGAAGGAACGUCAAUGGCGAAGGCAGCCACCUGGUAUCAUACUGACGCUGAGGCGCGAAAGCGUGGGGAUCAAACAGGAUUAGAUACCCUGGUAGUCCACGCUGUAAACGAUGAGAACUAGAUGCUGGUGGGGGAACCCAUCAGUAUCGAAGCUAACGCGAUAAGUUCUCCGCCUGGGGAGUACGGCCGCAAGGUUGAA
rnacentral:rRNA from 1 species